rnacentral:sRNA from 1 species
GCGUACGCGACGGAGCGGGGUGUGAAGAUGGCGGACGAAGAGGCCGAGCAGGAGAGGUUGAGUCGCGGCGAAGGCGGCUGCGUUGCGGAGCUGCAGCGCCUGGGCGAGCGGCUCCAGGAGCUGGAGCGACAGCUGCGGGAGAGCCGGGUACCGGCCGUGGAAGCGGCCACCGACUACUGUCAGCAGCUAUGCCAGACACUCCUAGAAUAUGCAGAGAAAUGGAAAACUUCAGAAGAUCCUUUACCUUUAUUGGAGGUAUACACAGUGGCUAUCCAAAGUUAUGUUAAAGCCCGACCUUAUCUUACCUCUGAAUGUGAAAAUGUAGCCUUGGUUCUGGAACGCUUGGCAUUAAGCUGUGUUGAACUUUUACUGUGUCUGCCUGUUGAGUUAUCAGAUAAACAGUGGGAACAAUUUCAGACACUGGUGCAGGUAGCUCAUGAAAAGCUGAUGGAGAAUGGCAGCUGUGAAUUGCAUUUUUUAGCUACUCUAGCUCAAGAGACUGGGGUGUGGAAAAACCCGGUACUGUGCACUAUUCUUUCCCAGGAACCAUUGGAUAAGGAUAAAGGAUUCCAUCCAGGAUACCACAUUACAUUUAGUCGUCAUGUCUCCUUAGGCUCCUCUUGGCUGUGACAGUUUUUCAGACUUUCCUUGUUUUUGAUGACCUUGACAGUUUUGAGGAGUACUGGUCAGGUAUUUUGUAGAGUGUCCCUCAAUUGAGAUUUGUCUGAUGUUGUUCUCAUGAUUAGACUGGGGUUAUGGGUUUUGAGGAGGAAGACCAGAAAGGUAAAGUACCAUUGCCAUCACAUUAUAUAAAGGGUAUCUAUUGUCAACAUGACUUAUCACUGUUUUGAGGUUUUUGGGGGUUUUUUUUGUUUGUUUGUUUUUUGAGAAAGGGUCUCACUCCAUCACUCAGGCUGGAGUGCAGUGGCACAAUCCCAGCUCACUGCAACCUCCAACUCCUGGGUUCAAGCGAUUCUCCCACCUCGGCCUCCCGAGUAGCUGGGACCGCAGGCAUGUGCCACCAUGCCUGGCUAAACUUCUUUGUAUGUUUUGGUAGAGAUGGGGUUUUACCUUGUUGGCCAAGCUGGUCUCGAGUCCCUGACCUCAAGUGAUCCACCUGCCUCGGCCUCCCAAAAUACUGGGAUUACAGGCAUGAGCCACUACACCCAGCCGACUUAUCACUGUUGGUGUGAACCUAGACCACCUAGCUGUGGCAGCAUGUGUCAGGUUUCUCCACUGUGAAGUUACUCUUUUCUCUCUUUCCAUGCUACAUUCUUUAGAAUGAAAUUACUGUGUGCAGCCCAUACUUGAAGUGGGAAGUUAUGCUCCACCUCCUUGAGGAAGCAGUAUCUACAUGUUAUCUGGAAUUCUACACAGGAGAUUUGUCUCCUCCCUAUUUAUUUUUUCCAUCAGUCAUUUAUAUUAGUAUGGCCUUAUAUAUAUUUAUUUUAUACUUUGGUCAUAAUCUGAUACUACUUUAUUUUGUUGCUCAGUUUCUUCCAGCUUUGGCAUGAGAGCUCUUUCCUUUGACUCUUGUGUCCCUCAUCAAUGGGUUUUGUUUUUUGUGUGAUUACUUCCUUGCUUUCUGGCACCGUAAUAUGCUCCAGGCUCAUCUGGCGUAUUUCCUGCCUGAGUCCUGGAAUCAACCAUUUCUCUAGGGAGGACUUGCCCCUUUUAUUGGAGAAUGGUAUUAGAAACCAAGAUCUAUAUUAAACUAAAUAUGAAUUCUU